UUGCCAAUCUUCACAAGGAAUUGUGGCCUCACAUGCUUCGAAGAGUUAUCAAGGAUGUGGAGAAGUCUUUGCCUCCAAAAAUUGAGCACAUCCUCUAGGUUGAAAUGUCUCCCCUUUAGAAAUAGUAUUACAAGUGGAUUUUAGAACGUAACUUUCAUAGCCUGAACAAAGGAGUCCGUGGAAAUCAAGUAGCUAUAUAUAUCCAGGUAUUGUCAAAGCUUACUGCAUUUAGCUAUAAGAGUAGGUAGUGUAUGGUUAUGCAGUGCCCAACAUUCUCCCCAUCUGAAUGGCAAAGGCGGUUUAAGUAAAUCAUCAAACUAUUGCUAGUUAAAAAUAAUAAUAAUAAUAAAGAAAGAAAGAAGGAAAGGAAAAAAGAACAACUUUCAAAUUUCAGCCAUCUGUGAACUGACACACACUACAACAAAAGCUGGAUUAGCCGACGUUGUGCAUGGCUAAUUUACCCUAAUUUUAUAUUCUUGUAAUUCAUGACUUCUCAAUAAGUAGCUUGUGGUUUUUGGGUUAAAGCAUAUUAAGAUAGUUUUCAUAUGUGAAUGGCAUCUAUCCUAUGUAAUAUUCUCCUUUUAAUAAAGCUUGGCAAUGGGUUGGGCCUGGGCCAGCAAAAUCAAAAUUUUAAAAUUAAAAUCCAGGCCAACCUUCGACUAUCAUGAAGCCAUAUAAUUUUGUGCAUUAUGAUUCCUCUUUUAUUACAACUGUGGCCAACAUCGAACAACAUUGAUCUUCGGUCAUGCACAUGCACAGUCAGGGACACUGUCAGACAAACUUGACUUCUUACAUGAACUUUGUAUUGAAGCAUGUUGAAUAUCUUUUUACACACCCAUAUGUGCAUUUUCAUGGUUUGAUAGCUCCACCCAUUUGUUAGCUGUGCAUCUACAAACAUUUUGAAAAUAGAGUAAUGAUCA